AGGUCGAACGCGAGAGAGGCUUCGGCCUCAAUUGAGUGGCAAACGGGUGAGUAACACGUGGGUGACCUACCUUCGAGUGGGGGAUAACGUCCCGAAAGGGACGCUAAUACCGCAUAACAUCCUGCCUUUGAACAGGUGGAGAUCAAAGCUGGGGAUCGUAAGACCUAGCGCUUGAUGAGGGGCCCGCGUCUGAUUAGCUAGUUGGUGAGGUAACGGCCCACCAAGGCGACGAUCAGUAUCCGGCCUGAGAGGGCGGACGGACACACUGGGACUGAGACACGGCCCAGACUCCUACGGGAGGCAGCAGUGGGGAAUUGUUCACAAUGGGCGCAAGCCUGAUGACGCAACGCCGCGUGGAGGAUGAAGGUCUUCGGAUUGUAAACUCCUGUUGCUCGGGACGAAAAGCCUCGACCUAACACGUCGAGGUCUGACGGUACCGAGUGAGGAAGCCCCGGCUAACUCUGUGCCAGCAGCCGCGGUAAUACAGAGGGGGCAAGCGUUGUUCGGAAUUACUGGGCGUAAAGGGCGCGUAGGCGGCCUGCUAAGUCGAACGUGAAAUCCCCGAGCUCAACUCGGGAACUGCGUCCGAUACUGACAGGCUUGAAUCCGGGAGAGGGAUGCGGAAUUCCAGGUGUAGCGGUGAAAUGCGUAGAUAUCUGGAGGAACACCGGUGGCGAAGGCGGCAUCCUGGACCGGCAUUGACGCUGAGGCGCGAAAGCUAGGGGAGCAAACGGGAUUAGAUACCCCGGUAGUCCUAGCCCUAAACGAUGAAUGCUUGGUGUGGCGGGUAUCGAUCCCUGCCGUGCCGAA
rnacentral:rRNA from 1 species